UACAGAGGGGGCAAGCGUUGUUCGGAAUUACUGGGCGUAAAGGGCGCGUAGGCGGGAUGGCAAGUCGGUCGUGAAAUCCCUCGGCUCAACCGAGGAACGUCGAUCGAUACUGCUGUUCUUGAGGAUUGCAGAGGAGACUGGAAUUCCCGGUGUAGCGGUGAAAUGUGUAGAGAUCGGGAGGAACACCGGUGGCGAAGGCGGCGACCUGGUCCGAUACUGACGCUGAGGCGCGAAAGCGUGGGGAGCAAACAGG
rnacentral:rRNA from 1 species